GAAAAUCAACCUCACUUUAAAGAUUUUAAAGAGCUUUCCCGAUUAAAACCUCGCAGUCUUGACCCACUCUCUGGUCCACACCAGGUUUGUGAGAACUGGUUACUCCAGGACUCUGUGCGUAGCUCUGAGGCACAACAGGCUUUUGAAUAGACAAGAAACCCCCAUCCUGCCUGCCUCCAACAGUGCCAUGGAUCGUUGGGAAUGUCGUCUCUUUUCUUAGGUUUUGCAGGGACUGAACCCUUCAGAAAAUCAAGACAAGCUGCCAACACGAGGAACUGCCAUCCCUGCAAAUGUGAUUUCUCCACAAGGAGGAAGGAGAAAGACAAUGAGUUGCGUCCGGAAUCAUCAUGGCCAGGAGCAUGUUGGCACACCUGGCGCUGGAGCAGUAGCUGAGAGCUACAUCCUGACCCACAGGCCAAGAGAGAGACACUGAGCCAGGCAUGGGCCCCAGGGACACACCUCCUCCAGCAA